rnacentral:lncRNA from 1 species
CUUGCGCCACAUUUGGACCCAUGCCCACAUCUCCAUGCCAAAUAGGAUUUGGAUUGAUCUUUUUGGCAUCAAAGUAGUAGACCCAAUAAGGGUAGGUGGCAAUGAUUGAUAACUCAUAAUCUUAUCUCUUGCCUAAUUCAAAUGUGAUCUGAAUUAGAGAUAAGAUGAAAACAAAGAAAGAAAUUUUUCAUACAAGGAAGGUUGUUGGUGUCUUAAUAAUUUUGUUUCUAUUUUUCUUGGAGAGAUCUUGAGUGUGUGAGAUGCUAGA